rnacentral:rRNA from 1 species
UACGGAAGAUGCGAGCGUUAUCCGGAUUUAUUGGGUUUAAAGGGAGCGUAGGCGGGCUUUUAAGUCUGCGGUAAAAUGGCACGGCUCAACCGUGUCCCGCCGUGGAAACUGGGAGUCUUGAAUGUGCACAAGGAAGGUGGAAUUCGUGGUGUAGCGGUGAAAUGCUUAGAUAUCACGAAGAACUCCGAUUGCGAAGGCAUCCUUCUGGGGCAUGAUUGACGCUGAGGCUCGAAAGCGCGGGUAUC